rnacentral:rRNA from 1 species
CCUACGGGUGGCAGCAGUGGGGAAUAUUGCACAAUGGGGGAAACCCUGAUGCAGCGACGCCGCGUGAGUGAAGAAGCGUUUCGGCGCGUAAAGCUCUGUCAGCGGGGAAGAAACACGGUUCGCUAGAGCCGCGGACGGUACCCGACCAAGAAGCCCCGGCUAACUACGUUCCAGCAGCCGCGGUAAUACGGAGGGGGCACGCGUUUUCCGGAUUCACUGGGUGUAAAGGGAGCGGAGACGGCGAGACAAGUCGGGAGGGAAAGGCCGGGGCCCAACCCCGGGCCGGCUCUGGAAACUGGCGGGCGGGAGUACAGGAGAGGUAAGUGGAAUUCGUGGUGUAGCGGUGAAAUGCGUAGAUAUUAGGAGGAACACCAGUGGAGAAGGCGGCUUACUGGACUGUAACUGACGUUGAGGCUCGAAAGCGUGGGGAGCAAACAGGAUUAGAUACCCCUGUAGUC